CAUGCUGAUUAUUAUUGAUGUCAAGGUCGCCAUUGUUUGUAAACAUUGCUUUUAAACAGCAUGCUCGGUGAAAACAAGUAAUUUUACAGGGGGGUACAAACUUUCAGCAAUAGCAAAAAAUCUACAAGGCCAAGCACCUAUUUCUUUGUGAUAUUUUGCAUGCAUAGGGAGUUGCUAAAGUAGUGACAGAGUUUUUGUAGACCGUAUAUUUGCAGGUUGUGUAGUUUGGGAUCAGAUUUAUCAGACAUAUUGCUUGUAGGACAUUGACGGCAGAAACUUGAAAUUUAGUGUGGAGUGCUACCUUAAGCUGUAUGUGUGAAAUAUGGCCAUCCGAAGUGUUUCGAGUGAUGCAAAAUCAUUGUAUGGAGGUAAAUUUUUGCUGGAAAUCACUUU